rnacentral:lncRNA from 1 species
GCCACAGUAAAAUGAUACCAGAAUCUUUACAACUGCUAUCCAGAGCGUUUCCUGCUAUCCAGCAAAAGGAGAGUCGUUGGACCAAUCUUUCAUCCAAACAGACCUACAGCACUUUGUUUACAUUACCAACCACAGGGACUAUAACAACAGCCUAUGACAAAGACAAAGAUCUACCAACAUGUUACUAUGCAGAAGCAGGUAUCUUGAAGGCAGAGGGCCAGGAUGUGAGCCCAGGUCUGCCUCCCAUGCCUCCAUCUCACAAUGAGAAGCAUGCAGCUCUUGCCUUCUUGCCUGCAUCAGUUGCUGGCUGCCAGAUCAGCUCCUGGAGGCCAGGGGCAUCUGAGCACACUGAACUGGAACCAGAUUGACUGCCAGCCAGCUUGGAGAGGGGGGAACCACAAACGCUUUAAAGCCUUCACUUCCUCUUCCAUUUUCCAGUCCUUUGCCAAGGGCAGCUCAUUUAGUCUGGCGAAUCUAGCCACAGGAAUCUGAAAUCUAUUUAAAGAUGUACGUUUGUGAAAGGAUAGUGAUCCUGAUUUGAUCUUAACUCAAGCACAUUUUUAGGUUUGACUUCACCAGGGUCCAAAACCACAGAGUUUUAGGCUCCGUAAACAAACCGAGGAUUACUACCUGCUAUGGUAGGGUGAACAAAGUACUUUCUUUGAGAGCAUAACUGUACUAAUCCUGCAGUUUGCAUUCAUAAAGAGAUUGCAGUUGUUUGCUGUUACUCUGGACCUAGACUGACUUUAGGUUUGUUUAGAGGCCAGACUGGGAACUUUAAGAAAUCCCCACAGCUACUGCCUUCCUCUCCAGCCUCUGUGGUGUUUCUUUUUCACAUUUUCUGAGACAGAAAAAGGUCAGGAAAGUUAGCUUUUUAUUGGUGGUACAACUCCACUCAUAAGCUUGGGUUGAUAAACAUAAAACACUGAACUUGCACUUAAAGUGUUCCAGCGGACCUCAGAUUUAAUUCUAGCAGAAGAGCUGUAAAGUAUUUUGAGCUCCCUUGAUAACUAACUUUCAUGAUUUAACUGUAUAAAAGAAUACUUUAAAAACACAAAAAUGACUUUUUAAACUUUCCUGAAGUUAAAUCAUUUGAAUAAUAAUAAUACAGGAAAAAUCUUUUAACCAUUAGAAUUAUAAUUGUAAUGUGUCUUCAUUUGGUUAAUCCUCAAUUAAUUUGUUUCCAUAUGAUUAAUUAGUCUUUGCUAUGUUUAUUAACCCUGUUUUAUAUUGCCAAACAAUUUGAAGCAUGUAAAAAACCUAUUCUUCUUCACAUAUAUCUUCUAAAAUUUAAAGAAGGUAAUUAUUGUGUUAAUGUAACUUACAGUUCUGUGUUUGAUCAUUCCAAAAAGACCUUGGCUUUCCUCCAAUCAUUUUCAUUUUGAUGAAAUAAAAUAUUAAAUGAGAA